rnacentral:misc_RNA from 1 species
AAGUCGUAACAAGGUUUCCGUAGGUGAACCUGCGGAAGGAUCAUUAACACGUAUCCAAACGUUAAAACCCCCCCCGUGAACCUUCAUCCUGCUCUUGUAACCCGCGUAGUUCGCAAUCUCUGAUAAAUCAUAGCCCGGAAAGUUGUAGUGAUUCAGAGACCUCUGGCUACGUGCGAACAUUGGAACAGUUACAAUCGAGCGGUAGUUCUAUAGGCAAUGUUUCCCCAAGCAGUCAGUGUCGGAAAGUGUCAUUGAUUGUGGCAGGAGCUUUGCCAAAGGGUCCCCAUGCCCCCUAAUAACCCCACAGUUUAAUGUGAAGCUCAAUGUAAUACAUUGGGUAAAAAAACCGAACAACUGUUAACAAUGGAUACCUUGGUUCUCGC